GUAUCUACAGCAGAACCCCAGGGUGGCACAAGCCCCUUGGCGGGUCUGACAGUGGUCUAGGACCCUUGGCGCCAUCCCGAAACACCCCGCACCUGCACCCAGUGCUCGGGAUGGCGGGGACGACCUUCCGGGCCACGGGGCAUUGAGGCCAGGCAGGAGGGAUGGAGACACCAACCACAAACCAGAAGCAAGCACCCCCCGGGCAAGGGGAGAGUGGAAUGCAGAUGAAUGAAAAUUUCCUCGUGGCCUAGUCGUCAUCUAGGAUCAGCACCAUCAUCAAAGAAAGUGGACAAGCAGAUGGAAGAGGACAUUGCUAAGUUAAGCUUUCAGCAAAGGCCCUUUCUACCUUUCUCUCUCUUUCCCUGCCUCUCACCUGGAAUGCAGAUGUGAUGGUUGAAGCAUCAGCCGCCACAGUAAGACUAUGAAGCAAACUUAGGAUGGCAGUCAAUGAGGUAGAGCAGAGGGUUAGAAGGAGCCCUGGUCCCUGAGGAGGUUGAAGCUUCCGUGACUGCACAGGCUGCUCUCCUCCAGCCCCUUUGAGAAGAGGGAAAGUUCUGUUCUACUGUAUUCAAGCUGCUGUCAUUCCCAGUGUCUGUUAUUAGCAACCAAGCUCAAUUCUUAGAGGAUACAGCUUUGCCGACCCCUCUUUCUAUUCUUGCUUAGAGGCCACCUACAUUUCCCUGGGUGUAUUCCAAAAAUGAAUCUAUGCCUUCAGCAAAGACUAUGUCCACAGCGAGGAGCUGGGCCAGGAGCUAAAAGCUAGGCCUCACUAGUCUCUCCUCCUCAGAUCGUCUCACUCAGGACUUUUCCUGAAUAUCAAUCCACAAACCUCUUCUCAGCAGUUCCCAGGCUCCAUCCCAACAGGCCAGGGCUGCCCAAUUCAACUCACAUUCAGAACAGCAGGAGACUGGGCUACAGUGUAGCUACAGCGGCCUCCACCUGGACCCAGGAGAUGGGAGUAUCUGAGGGCACUUUCUGGAUGGCUCGCAGAAGCAACAAUGCACCGAAAUAUCCUCUGGCUGUGACUCUGUCACCUCCAGCUCCCUGCUCUGCUCCAGGACGCACCAGCCACAGAGCAGGACUUGCAUCGACAGCUCCAGUUCCAGCCGCAUGGUCCUGUUGUCCAACCCAUGCCCACAAGGCCUUGCUCUCACUCACACACUCCAGUCCAGUCCCUAUGGAGCAGCCCUGGCAUGUGGGACCCCUCGGUGCCCUGAACCUCUGGGCCAUCAGGGGCAUGCAGGAUGAGCUGCCUCCCUCAGGAGACGCACUGCAAAGGGGAGUGCUGGAGGCCCACCCAGAAUCUGCCUCCAGCAGCCGUCCCCACACCCAGCAAACUCUCCUGAGAGUGGCCAGUGAGCACCUGCAGUGCUGGGGACCAGAAGUGGCCAAAGUUUCAGGAAGGGCUGACUCGCUGGGACGCUGUUCCCUUCUGAAGCUGUGUGACCAAACACCACAAGCCACGUGUUCCCCGCUCUGCACGGCUGCUUGGGCCCCGGACAGCUCAGGGUGUCGGCAAUCCAGACCCGUGCUGCUGUGGCUGGCUUCUGAGAUACUGGCCCCUUGGGGGUCUCGGAGUUCCCAGCUGAGCCACUGCUGACCCCCAUCCCGGUCUGGACACAAGCACAGAGAAGAGCCAUGUCCCCCCGGCAGCGUGCCUGUUAAGGCACCGUGUUGGCCACGGUGUCCCCAUCUCAGGCAGGUGACACGAGCCUCCCACUUCUGUGUAAGGGAAGCCCUGACGUGGACAGAAGACCCCUCCCGCGACUGCGAGGGGCUGCUGGCUGCCCCACCGCACCCAGCCCUCCUGGCCACAGAGCCCCGCAGAGCCCGGCGGCGGCGGACCGGGUGCCAGGCCUGCGUGCGGUGGGCGGUGCGCAGCCCGCAGCUGCUGGAAUCUCUGAG
rnacentral:lncRNA from 12 species